AACGCUAGCUACAGGCUUAACACAUGCAAGUCGAGGGGCAGCAUUUCAGUUUGCUUGCAAACUGGAGAUGGCGACCGGCGCACGGGUGAGUAACACGUAUCCAACCUGCCGAUAACUCGGGGAUAGCCUUUCGAAAGAAAGAUUAAUACCCGAUGGCAUAAUUAGACCGCAUGGUCUUAUUAUUAAAGAAUUUCGGUUAUCGAUGGGGAUGCGUUCCAUUAGGCAGUUGGUGAGGUAACGGCUCACCAAACCUUCGAUGGAUAGGGGUUCUGAGAGGAAGGUCCCCCACAUUGGAACUGAGACACGGUCCAAACUCCUACGGGAGGCAGCAGUGAGGAAUAUUGGUCAAUGGGCGCAGGCCUGAACCAGCCAAGUAGCGUGAAGGAUGACUGCCCUAUGGGUUGUAAACUUCUUUUAUAUGGGAAUAAAGUUUUCCACGUGUGGAAUUUUGUAUGUACCAUAUGAAUAAGGAUCGGCUAACUCCGUGCCAGCAGCCGCGGUAAUACGGAGGAUCCGAGCGUUAUCCGGAUUUAUUGGGUUUAAAGGGAGCGUAGGUGGACAGUUAAGUCAGUUGUGAAAGUUUGCGGCUCAACCGUAAAAUUGCAGUUGAUACUGGCUGUCUUGAGUACAGUAGAGGUGGGCGGAAUUCGUGGUGUAGCGGUGAAAUGCUUAGAUAUCACGAAGAACUCCGAUUG
rnacentral:rRNA from 1 species